AGAUAAAUGUUCAUGCAUCUGAUCAGUGGAUCCAAGGUCGUGUAGAUGACUACAGUGAUCAUGACCAUCCUAUGUGACCAGGCCUUCAACCAAAACAUCUACACUGUGCGGGCUGUCAAUCAGGAUCUUCUGGGAAUGUUGCCAUUCAAGAGUGUUGGUCUUUACCUGGCAUUCUUCAGUGUAAACAGCAAUUGAUUUCUUCAUGAUCUCUGGAGGAGGACCGUGUCAGUCGGGAGCGCUACACACUGGGUCAUAUUUUCCUCGAUUAUGCUGAUAGCAGACUGCUGGACACGAUGGAUGUUAUGAUCUUGGUUAUGCGUAACCCAAGUACCCCAAUUUUCCUACAGUCAUUCGAUCAACGAGGAAUAUCCACUUGGCAAUCAUGUGCUUACAAUCAAGAUGAGGAUGAUGUCACAUACUCCAUGCUCUCACACACAACAGGAAGUAGGUCCUAGGAGUCAUUUUAAUUGAUGCAAGGAACCAGACAGGUUUUUCUCAGAAAAUCUCGCAACAAGGUGCCACUCAACCAAUACUCUGUAUGACAUGUAAAGCUAUCCAUUACUGGUCAAAUAUAUCAUCAACAGUGACGUCACUGCUGGCAGACCCCGUGGAGAACUGUACGUUGAAUGACAUGGAAGGUGCUGCCUCUCUGGAUUGCGACUGGAAAUAAAUCAAUGUGCCGGAUAUGUGAUGGAUAAAUGCCGGAUAUGUGACUGAUAUGCGUUUAUCGAUGAUAUAUAUGUGAACAGGUGUUUCAAUAUUUAUACGAAAAACUACAGAUAACAAGCUCAGUUGCCAAAAGUUUUAACAUAAACCCUGUUUAAUGGCACAGGGUAAGCCCCAAAGAUAUAGAAUACAAAAACAACGAACAUGGAACAACAGCAUCAACAAACAACACAAAACAUAUAUAUUAUAUAAAAAACUAGGUGUGUUUAUCAAGGAUUGCUAGGAACCGCCUUAAAACGGUAAGUUAAAUAUAAAUUUACUGGGUGUUAAAACCCGACUGUGUGCACAACCUCACUCUUAUCCAAACAAUACCGAAUGAAGUAAAAAACGUAAAUGGUAAAUCUAAUCGAAGUAUGAAAAAACUUAAGAAAUUUAAUAAUACAACAAAUAAUAAUAAUAGACUUAUAGGUAAACCUUAUCAGACUUAGAUUUCAACGUCGUUUGUUAUUGAAGUUCAUGCUUCGGUCCUGUUUCUUCGCCUGGUUUUGUCCCCAACUUGGAUGUCAUCUUUGACACAUUUUGUGAUUUGACCGUAUAUUUUGGAAAUUUAUGCCUUGACACAUUUUCUUCGCUUUGAGUUUCCCUGAUUUUGAUGCUGACUUUGAUUCUUUUUGUGGUUGGCCUUUUUCUUGGUGACCUAACAAAGCCCUUCGACUGUUUAGGUUGUGGGAUUUUCGCUGCAGGACUGUAAUAUUUGUUCGGCUGUUUUGUUUUGGAUGGUGUUUGGUACGUAGCCCACUUUUCUUCCGCAAAAUUUGAUUCUCCUUGAUUUAGCGAUGAAAGUGGUUUUUGGUAAAAAUCAAAUUUAGUGAUAUAUUUGUGUAUAUAUUGAUUUGUAUAGUCCUAACAUGAAGAAAUCUUUUUAUUUUUUUCAAAUUCAUGAAAAAAAAAAAUAAAAAAAUAGAGGGAUUUGGAGUUUUUAUUUUUUACACUUCAGUCUGCCAAAUUUGAGCGUUUUUGCCUUAGGGCUGUUCCAGGAAAAAAGGCCUGGGGGGGCAAGAACGACAGUCCAAAAAUGGGGCACCACCAACACAAUUUUAACUGCUUUUACACCCCCCACCAACAGAAUUAAAAUAGGUAAUAGACCCACCAGCACCACAUUUAGAUUAAACUCAACACCACCCUACAACACAAUUGAAAUUAGUAUUUGUUCAUGUCAUUCAGUAAAACUCUCAAGUCUUCUUUUUUAUUUUACUUGUUACAGUGCACUGGUUUACCUUCUUAUUUGAAAUGCAGAGACAAACUUCAUAUGAGAAUAUUAAUAGCUGCUUUAUUCACAAGUGGCGAUGGGGUUUUCAGUAUUCAGAUGUACCAGUAACCCUGUUCAUGUAUUAUUAUAAUUUAAGAAGCUGAUGAUAGAAUACAAUAUUGGCUAUUACAACUAUUGUAAAAUGUAUCAAAAAUGGUGGCUUUGGCUAUUGUUUGAAAUAUGUUUUGUUUCUUAAGUAAAUAAACCUUUGCUAUUGAGAA